GAGAUGUAGGCAGAGAUUCCCCAAAAACGCUCAUGACACACCUGUGUUUUUGCCGCCAUCUUUGACUGACAACCACUCUGAGAAGAAAUCUUCACUGGAAGCGGUAUCGCAAAAGGUUACAUAUUAUUCUACAUGGAGAAGAGGACCGAAUGGCUGCAGGGAAUGUAGAGUGAAAGGAUAGAACAAUAAAUGACACAGCUGGCUGGAGCACCAAGAGACAUGAAAAAGAAGGUCACUCUAGAGGGUCUUUCAGUUGAAAUUAGAUCUGCUAACAAUCUGAUUACCAGUAGUAGUUUCACAACCCCCCUCCCACCACCACCAUCACCACCAAAAAAAGAAAAAGUAGCAAAUGUUGUGAAAUGUAGGUAGAAAUCAUAAAUCUGUCCAAUAUGCAGAACAUGCAUUUCCAAAUAUAAGUAAACGAAGCAGGAAAUUAUCAUAUUUCACAGACUCCUAUGCUGCUUGUUCCAAAGCUCAGUACAGAGAUAAUAAACAAAGGCCAAAUAAAAGGACAUUCAAAAAAAGGUUCAUAGUCCACUGAAGUGAAAAAGGAUAUACUUAUUC